AACCCAAAAGAUCAGAUAGAUUCAAAACAUAUUUGGAACAGAAAGCAAUUUAUGGGGAUUUAUUUACUUAAAAAUAGCAAUAUUUUUAUAUGAGUACAAGAAAGAAAGCUGCGUGGUGAUUGCAUCCUCUCACAAAUGCUGGCCUUUCUUGAGUUAAUGAUAUUAUUUUUGGUAAAAGGGAAAAUAUUAAAUUAAAUAAUAUAAAAAAUCAUUGCUAGUAUGCUAUAAAGUAUUAACUCCCCACAUUAAAGAGCACAGACCACCAGUAAUUUAUACAGACCAUUGUGGUGGUCCACAAAAUAAACAUUUUGGGAGGAAAGCAGUAGGGUAUCCUAAUAGUUGUGUGAAAAAUGGUCCAACAGAAGUAUUCUCUGCUGUUAAAGUCUUCAUCAAAUGGAAAAAUUAAACAAGCCGCAGCUUUGUGGCAUGGCUUUAAGCAGUACAGAGAAAUCUGUGCUUGCUGAAAGGGUACCAAUGUCUUUGCAGCUGCCUCAGAGCAAAAUUCUUAAUGGGAUCGCUCUGGGGAAUAUUCUGAUUUAACUUUAUGGGUUUGUCAACAUGCUCUGAGCUACACGUUUCAGCUGCUGCUUCAGAACUAGCUGGUUUCAAGUCAGGUCAUGCAGCAAUCAAGAACUGGUGAUGGACAUAAAGUCUUUGAAUUACCCGCACUCAAUAGAAAUGCCUCUUCCAGUUCUGUGCUCUACACGAAGACUAUGUGCAGACUGUAGAAUAAUACAUGCACUAAUCAGAAGGAAUUCAGAGAUGUGCAGUGGCUGUCAAUUUAUUCAGAACCACUGAAAAGCCUGAAGAUGCAACACGAUGUGAUAGCAAGAAAUGAUGAGAAGUAAAAUCUCGAGAAUCCAGGAUGUGUGUGGAACACGAAAGAGGGACCAGCUUUGGAAAUUAUAAGAACAACAACUUCCCUAAUCUUCUGAAAAUCCAGUACCCCCCAACACCUGAGGUUGGCAGACUGGAAUCACUAUUUUCAAAUGUUGUCAGUCAUUGCAUAUUUGUGUCAUCCAAGGAAAUCUUCACAGUGCACAGGGAUCACCUUCAAGAAGACUGUAUCAGCAACAUAUCUUAAUGUAUUCACAGUUACUUUCAUAAAAAUCACUUUUCACAUUACAGUAGUCUCAAACAGCUAUGAGAUAAGAACUGAAAUGAUGGAGAAAAUCUUCAAGUCCAGACCCUGUCAUUCAUGAAUAACCUAUUGUACUACACAGCGGGAAAAAACGUUGACAAACUGAGAAUUCAUUGGCAUGCCAGGUUAGCAGAAACUUCCAAAGCAAACAAAAAAUGAUGAACAGAAAGGGAAAGACAGAGAAAAAAAGGAAUUAAUGGAACCCAGAACAGCCAAGUGACUGGGACACUCUCAAGAAUGAGGUCUUAUGCUCAAAUCCUUGAUCUACUUAAAGAAGAAGAAAUGAAGAAAAUCCAUCAUUUUUGAAGAACAAUUUGAGCACACAUCUUCCAUAGGCUACUGUGUUUUCAAUUACUAAAUAUGUCAAAAAAAUAAACAUUUUCAUUACCCGUAUGGACUUUCCCCA
ensembl:lncRNA